rnacentral:rRNA from 1 species
CGAACGAAGGGCAAUCCGCUGAAAGAUGGGCUCGCGUCCGAUUAGAUAGUUGGCGGGGUAACGGCCCACCAAGUCGACGAUCGGUAGCCGGACUGAGAGGUUGAACGGCCACAUUGGGGACUGAGACACGGCCCAGACUCCUACGGAAGGCAGCAG